AUGAACAAAGCUAGUGGAGGUGAUGGCAUUCCAGUUGAGCUGUUUCAAAUCCUGAAAGAUGAUGCUGUGAAAGUGCUGCACUCAAUAUGCCAGCAAAUUUGUAAAACUCAGCAGUGGCCACGGGACUGGAAAAAGUCAGUUUUCAUUCCAAUCCCAAAGAAAGGCAAUGCAAAAGAAUGCUCAAACUACCGCAAAAUUGUCCUCAUCUCACAUGCUAGUAAAGUAAUGCUCAAAAUUCUCCAAGCCAGGCUUCAGCAAUACGUGAACCAUGAACUCCCUGAUGUUCAAGCUGGUUUUAGAAAAGGCAGAGGAACCAGAGAUCAAGUUGUCAACAUCUGCUGGAUCAUGGAAAAAGCAAGAGAGUUCCAGAAAAACAUCUAUUUCUGCUUUACUGACUAUGCUAAAGCCUUUGACUGUGUGGGUCACAAUAAACUAUGGAAAAUUCUGAAAGAGAUGGGAAUACCAGACCACCUAACCUGCCUCUUGAGAAAUCUGUAUGCAGGUCAGGAAGCAACAGUUAGAACUGGACGUGGAACAACAGACUGGUUCCAAAUAGGAAAAGGAGUAUGUCAAGGCUGUAUAUUGUCACCCUGCUUAUUUAACUUAUAUGCAGAGUACAUGAUGAGAAACGCUGGACUGGAAGAAACACAAGCUGGAAUCAAGAUUGCCAGGAGAAAUAUCAAUCACCUCAGAUAUGCAGAUGACACCACCCUUAUGGCAGAAAGUGAAGAGGAACUAAAAAGCCUCUUGGUGAAAGUGAAAGAGGAGAGCGAAAAAGUUGGCUUAAAGCUCAACAUUCAGAAAACAAAGAACAUGGCAUCUGGUCCCAUCACUUCAUCGGAAAUAGAUGGGGAAACAGUGGAAACAGUGUCAGACUUUAUUUUGGGGGGCCUGAAAAUCACUGCAGAUGGUGACUGCAGCCAUGAAAUUAAAAGACACUUACUCCUUGGAAGAAAAGUUAUGAGCAACCUAGAUAGUAUAUUCAAAAGCAGAGACAUUACUUUGCCAACUAAGGUCCAUCUAGUCAAGGCUAUGGUUUUUCCAGUGGUCAUGUAUGGAUGUGAGAGUUGGACUGUGAAGAAGGCUGAGCACUGA
rnacentral:lncRNA from 1 species